AUUGAACGCUGGCGGCAGGCCUAACACAUGCAAGUCGAGCGAGCGGCGGACGGGUGAGUAAUGUCUGGGAACCUGCCUGAUGGAGGGGGAUAACUACUGGAAACGGUAGCUAAUACCGCAUACCAUCAGAUGGGCCCAGAUGGGAUGAGCUAGUAGGUGGGGUAAUGUCUCACCUAGGCGACGAUCCCUAGCUGGUCUGAGAGGAUGACUGGCCACACUGGAAGGUAGCCACGGUCCGGAGUCUUACUGGAGGCAGCAGUGGGGAAUAUUGCACAAUGGGCGCAAGCCUGAUGCAGCCAUGCCGCGUGUAUGAGGAAGGCCUUCGGGUUAUAAAGUACUUUCAGCGUGGAGGCGUUACCCGCAGAGGAAGCGCCGGCUAACUCCGUGCCAGGAGCCGCGGUAAUUC
rnacentral:rRNA from 1 species